CCAAGGAGUCUAACAUGUACGCGAGUCAUUGGGACUUGACAAAGCCUAAAGGCGUAAUGAAAGUGAAGAUCUUCCUUAGCGUUGAUCGAGGGAGGAUGGUCGGCUCUUUGGAGCCGGCUCGCACUCCCGGGGCGUCUCGUGCUCAUUACGAGCAGAGGCGCACCUAGAGCGUACACGUUGGGACCCGAAAGAUGGUGAACUAUGCCUGGUCAGGACGAAGUCAGGGGAAACCCUGAUGGAGGUCCGUAGCGAUUCUGACGUGCAAAUCGAUCGUCGGAACUGGGUAUAGGGGCGAAAGACUAAUCGAACCAUC
rnacentral:rRNA from 1 species